CCGAGUUAGACAACUCCCAACCCUUUGUGAACAUACCGUAUUUUCGUUGCUUCGGCGGGCUGCCCCAGGGGGGGCUGCAGCCUAUAAAAGGCGCCCGCCGGAGGACCUAGACUCUGAAUUUAAAAUAAGUCUCCUCUGAGUAAAACAAAAUAAAUAAAUCA
rnacentral:misc_RNA from 1 species